UUACGGUCACAUCACAUUGAAACAUAUGUAUCUGUAUGAUUACCAAAGUUAAACAAUAUUGAGCCUGGUCAGUACCUAGAUGGGUGACCGCUUGGGAAUACCAGGUGCUGUA